AAACACCCCAAAAGCAAAAGGAAGAAAAGAAGAAACAGAAUCCCUCACAGACCAUCCUUUCUCCUGACCACUGCCCAGUAGCAAAUAUAAAGCAGAAGCUCUCAAAACCCUAUAAAGACCUAUGACACUUACAAACCAAACCAAUCCAAUCCAAACUCUUUUUUCAUACAGUUAAAACACUAUAAAAUUAGUUCAAACAAGAUAUUUCCACUUAUACUGUUAUACACACACACACACACUCUCUCUCUCUCAAAAAAGAAAAAAGAAAAAGAAAAACAAUCCAAACUCGUAGCUAGGCAAAUUCCGAACACCAUUUCAUUUCAUUGGAUUGGUGAAAUAUUCUGAAAGAUUUAUACCAAAUAGCAUCGAAGCUGGAAGCCAAAAACGAUUCUUCAGGAUGAUUGAUGGUUGUGAUGGUGAUGCAGCAGAACACUUCUGCAGUGGCGUCGCAGCCAAUCAAUCCCCAAUCCUCCCUUAGAUCACCACCACAAUCGCAACCGAUCAAUUCCCAACCAAUCUCUCUCGCAUCAGCGGGGCCCACUCCCCACCCCCACCGCCACCACCAGCACCACCACCACCACGCCGCGUUGGAUCAUGCUAUUGGACCGCUGGUACCGAUCACGGUGGCGCAUCCGUCGGGGGAGCCUGCCGCCGCCGCCGCCUCCUUGAUGGCGGCGGCGUCCCCGCUGGCCAGGGUCCGGCUCUCGGAUAUCGCCCCCUACGAUGGGGCUCCCGGUGGGCCCUACAACAGGGCGGUGGAGGCGCUGGCUGGCUCCUUGAUGAGGCACAAUGCGGCGGUCAUCGAAUUGGGGACUGAGGACACCGCCCUCAUGCGCUGUGGCUUGGAAGCGGCACGCCUCUAUUUUCGAACUAGGGCUCAGCACCAGCAACAGCAACAGCAGACUGUGGUUGCCAAGGGAAACCGUGGAGUUUAUAUGUACAGAGCUGGCAGGGCUUUAGAAGAUUGGGACUCAUCUCCCCCAUGCAUGGCUGAUAUAUUUAAGUGCAUGGGAAAGGCAGCUCGUGCUGCUCUCUGUGCAAUGGCAAGGUAUCUUCGUUUGCGAAGCGAUGUUUUCAAUCAUUUGCUUGAUGAUACCCCAUUGCCUGCAAAUGAGGUGUCGUCAUCAGUGCUUGUUGCAACCUACUUAAGUGCUGCUUUGCAAAAUGGUAAGGGUGCUAUUGGAGGGGGGAAGCCAGCAAUGAAUGGUGAAGUGGAGAAAGGAUUGGUGACAUUGAUUUCCUCAGACAGUCCCGGUCUUCAGGUUUGUGAUCCAAAUGGUCGGUGGUACUUAGCAGAUGGGGGUUCAGCUCCUGGGGAUCUUUUACUGCUUACAGGCAAGGCACUUAGCCAUGCUACUGCUGGUCUUCGUCCUGCUGCAUCUUAUAGGGCUGCUCCUGAUUAUAUGGCAGGCACUAACGGUAGUGGGAGGACAUCACUUGCGUUUAGGCUCAUGCCGCAGGGUAAUGCAAUAUUAGAUUGUUCUCCAAUUGCAGCAGCUGGUCAUGUCAUUCCUCAGAGCUAUGUGCCGAUAUCUGUAAGCCAGUUUAUGGAUGACCUUUCUGCUGAGGAAGAUGUAUUGUGCAGUCGUUCUGAUAAUACUUACGUAUCUCGAAACAGUUUGAAUAAGGAACCGUCACUAAGAAGCGUUCUCUCCGAUCCCUUAUCUGGUUCAUUUCUUGAAGAUGCCGUGGUUGUUUCAUGUGGACAUUCAUUCGGAGGUCUGAUGCUGAGAAGAGUCAUUGAAACAUCUAGAUGUACCCUUUGCAGUGCAGAAAUUGAGAACGGGCCUUUAAUCCCUAAUCAUGCUCUUAGAGCAGCCGCUGCAGCAGUGAAACAUGAGGAUGAUCGAAGGCUAUUUCAUAAUGCUACUCUGCGGAAGCGUCGGAAAGAAAUGGGUGACCAUACAGAUCCAUUGAGAAGAUCGAACAGGGAUAUUAGCCACAUGAUUGUCUAUAGGAAAAUGGAGAUGUUACUGCUGAUGAUGGGCUCCAUCGGGGGGUGCAAUAUCCAUUUUCAGUAAACGAGAAAGUGGUUAUUAAGGGAAACAGGAGGACACCAGAAAAAUUUGUUGGGAAGGAAGCAGUCAUCACAUCACAAUGUCUCAAUGGCUGGUACUUGCUUAGGAUUAUUGGAACUGGAGAGAAUGUCCGCCUGCAGUACCGUUCUCUUAGGAAGAUAUUGAGUACAGCAGCAAUUGAUGACAGAUGUCCACCACAGCAGAUUCAGAACAGUAGCUGAUAAAUUAAAUUUCUUUUAGUACUAGAUACUCAAACCUUAAACCUUGAUAGUGCAUAAUUAAAAAUCUCACUUUUUUCGGCUCCUACCAGGUAUACGAGUUCUUACUAGUUAUUGUAAUUGAAUGUAGUUUCUAUGUAGCCAGAAAAGAGGUAGUCUGUUUGAAUGCUAGAGUUCCUGAUACCUGUCAAAAGCUUGUAAAUUAUGAAAAGAAAAAAGAUGACUUAGGUAGUGUUUGAAUUUUAGCUGAAAAUGAAUAUGAAAAUUAUUUUUUGCCAA